GAUGAACGCUGGCGGCGUGCCUAAUACAUGCAAGUCGAGCGAACGGACGAGAAGCUUGCUUCUCUGAUGUUAGCGGCGGACGGGUGAGUAACACGUGGAUAACCUACCUAUAAGACUGGGAUAACUUCGGGAAACCGGAGCUAAUACCGGAUAAUAUUUUGAACCGCAUGGUUCAAAAGUGAAAGACGGUCUUGCUGUCACUUAUAGAUGGAUCCGCGCUGCAUUAGCUAGUUGGUAAGGUAACGGCUUACCAAGGCAACGAUGCAUAGCCGACCUGAGAGGGUGAUCGGCCACACUGGAACUGAGACACGGUCCAGACUCCUACGGGAGGCAGCAGUAGGGAAUCUUCCGCAAUGGGCGAAAGCCUGACGGAGCAACGCCGCGUGAGUGAUGAAGGUCUUCGGAUCGUAAAACUCUGUUAUUAGGGAAGAACAUAUGUGUAAGUAACUGUGCACAUCUUGACGGUACCUAAUCAGAAAGCCACGGCUAACUACGUGCCAGCAGCCGCGGUAAUACGUAGGUGGCAAGCGUUAUCCGGAAUUAUUGGGCGUAAAGCGCGCGUAGGCGGUUUUUUAAGUCUGAUGUGAAAGCCCACGGCUCAACUGUGGAGGGUCAUUGGAAACUGGAAAACUUGAGUGCAGAAGAGGAAAGUGGAAUUCCAUGUGUAGCGGUGAAAUGCGCAGAGAUAUGGAGGAACACCAGUGGCGAAGGCGACUUUCUGGUCUGUAACUGACGCUGGUGUGCGAAAGCGUGGGGAUCAAACAGGAUUAGAUACCCUGGUAGUCCACGCCGUAAACGAUGAGUGCUAAGUGUUAGGGGGUUUCCGCCCCUUAGUGCUGCAGCUAACGCAUUAAGCACUCCGCCUGGGGAGUACGACCGCAAGGUUGAAACUCAAAGGAAUUGACGGGGACCCGCACAAGCGGUGGAGCAUGUGGUUUAAUUCGAAGCAACGCGAAGAACCUUACCAAAUCUUGACAUCCUUUGACAACUCUAGAGAUAGAGCCUUCCCCUUCGGGGGACAAAGUGACAGGUGGUGCAUGGUUGUCGUCAGCUCGUGUCGUGAGAUGUUGGGUUAAGUCCCGCAACGAGCGCAACCCUUAAGCUUAGUUGCCAUCAUUAAGUUGGGCACUCUAAGUUGACUGCCGGUGACAAACCGGAGGAAGGUGGGGAUGACGUCAAAUCAUCAUGCCCCUUAUGAUUUGGGCUACACACGUGCUACAAUGGACAAUACAAAGGGCAGCGAAACCGCGAGGUCAAGCAAAUCCCAUAAAGUUGUUCUCAGUUCGGAUUGUAGUCUGCAACUCGACUACAUGAAGCUGGAAUCGCUAGUAAUCGUAGAUCAGCAUGCUACGGUGAAUACGUUCCCGGGUCU
rnacentral:rRNA from 1 species